rnacentral:lncRNA from 1 species
UUUGUUUUUGUUCUUUGUUUUGUUUUGUUGUUGUUUUCUUUCUAAAAAAAAUUCAUUUUUGUUGAAAGUUUUAGGCUAUAGAAUAAUUUGAGGUUGGUUUGUAGAGACUUGGGAAAAGUUCACAAGAUCGGUAUCGUUUUAACACCUUAAAUCUCCUGAAUAUGAAAAUCACAUUUUUGUUGAAAGUUUUAGGCUAUAGAAUAAUUUGAGGUUGGUUUGUAGAGACUUGGGAAAAGUUCACAAGAUCGGUAUCGUUUUAACACCUUAAAUCUCCUGAAUAUGAAAAUCAUUUUGAAUAUUUGUUAUGACAUAGCCUUGAGUUCUCAUUUUUCUUAUAGCUCUUGAGUAGUUUAUUUCAGCAGUCAGCACCAUCUCACACAUACUCUACGCAGGGAAGCCGAUGAAUAUAAGUG